rnacentral:rRNA from 1 species
UACGGGGGGUGCGAGCGUUGUCCGGAAUCACUGGGCGUAAAGGGCGCGUAGGUGGCGUGAUAAGGGUGUGGUGAAAGCCCGGGGCUCAACCCCGGGUCUGCCAUGCCGACUGUCAGGCUGGAGUACUGUAGGGGCAGGCGGAAUUCCGGGUGUAGCGGUGAAAUGCGCAGAUAUCAGGAGGAACACCAGUGGCGAAGGCGGCUCGCUGGACCGGAACUGACGCUGAGGCGCGAAAGCGUGGGGAGCAAACAGG